AUUGAACGCUGGCGGCAUGCCUUACACAUGCAAGUCGAACGGUAACGGGCCUUCGGGUGCCGACGAGUGGCGAACGGGUGAGUAAUGUAUCGGAACGUACCUUUCAGUGGGGGAUAACGUAGCGAAAGUUACGCUAAUACCGCAUAUUCUGUGAGCAGGAAAGCAGGGGAUCGCAAGACCUUGCGCUGAUUGAGCGGCCGAUAUCAGAUUAGGUAGUUGGUGGGGUAAAGGCCCACCAAGCCAACGAUCUGUAGCUGGUCUGAGAGGACGACCAGCCACACUGGAACUGAGACACGGUCCAGACUCCUACGGGAGGCAGCAGUGGGGAAUUUUGGACAAUGGGCGCAAGCCUGAUCCAGCAAUGCCGCGUGCAGGAUGAAGGCCUUCGGGUUGUAAACUGCUUUUGUACGGAACGAAAAGGCUCUGGUUAAUACCUGGGGCUCAUGACGGUACCGUAAGAAUAAGCACCGGCUAACUACGUG
rnacentral:rRNA from 1 species